UCCUCCCGCUGCGGCGGGCGGACGUCCGGCGGCGGCCAUGGCGCUGGCGGAGGCGGGGGCCGGCGCUGGCGGGCGGCUCCUUCGCUGGCCCCGCGUCGUCCUCUUCGGAGACUCCAUCACCGAGUUCUCCUUCCAGGAAAAUGGCUGGGGGGCAUCCCUUGCUGAGAGACUGGUCAGAAAAUGUGAUGUUGUGAACCGUGGGCUCUCAGGGUACAACACCAGGUGGGCUAAAUUGAUCCUUCCAAGAUUGAUCAGUAAAAGUACUGGUGCCGAGAGUACUGUGGCAGUUACGAUUUUCUUUGGAGCCAAUGACAGUGCUUUGAAAGAUCUGAACCCUAAGCAACACGUUCCUUUGGAGGAAUAUGCUGCAAACUUAAAGAGCAUGAUACAGUAUCUGAAGUCAAUAGACAUUACUGAAGACAGGGUUAUUUUGAUAACGCCACCACCUCUUCAGGAAUCGGCCUGGGAGAAGGAGUGUCUUGCCAAAGGCGACAAAUUGAAUCGCCGCAACGCCACCACUGGGGAGUACGCCCAGGCCUGUGUUCAGGUAGCCAGGGACUGUGGAACGGAUGUACUUGACCUCUGGACACUGAUGCAGAAAAAUCAGUUUUAUCAACAGAUUGUUAUGGGAAAACACACAGAAUUCAGAUGCUGCUUUAUCAUCACACCAGUUGCUCUGUGACUCCACAGUGUCAGUCCAUCUGCCGCUACGCGAGAACACCGCUCGCGUUCCAGUCCCAGCUCACCUUCCAGAUGUCCAGCUCUAUCCAGUUAGAGGCCACCAUUAAAUUACCAACCUUUAACAUCACAUCGUAGUACCUGUGUGGGAAUUUGAAUUCCUGAAGUCUCCUCCUUACACUUGCCCUCAGACCCCUGCGGCAUACAAGCCUCUUCGCACAGAGCGAGAAACUCCCAACGAAAGCCUGUCUCUGCAACAGAGAUGCGAGGACAAGACAACCCCACCGCUAGAGGCAAAACAGGUUCAUGCUAGAGGAGCAUUUCCACACAUUGUGUAAGGUUUAACAGCCUCUGCAUGACCCUUUUAUUUGUUUCGAAGCUCUGUAUCUUAAGCUUCUUGAUUCCAAUUAUGCAUCUUCAUUUAACACUGAGACUGUGGGUUUGUCCGAUUACUCUCAUUCUGUUCUCAAGGCAUCUCUUCAGGCUUUUGAUUACAUAUACCUGAAAUUGCUAAAUGGAACAUACUGCAGUGUUUUCAUUUUGUUUUUAAAAGCCCGUUAAUUUCGUCUAUCAGUGCUGUCAGACUACAAAAUAUUAAAUUAUAAAAAAGGCCAAUAUACACAAUCCAAUAUCCAGCAGGAUAUUUGGUGUUGCACCACAGGUUGAAGGAAAUGUUAAAGGUCAAGGAAAUAGAAAAACAAAUCCAAAAAGCUUCAAAAACAAGCCAGUUUUAGUUUGGAUUUUCCUUUUUAAAAGAUAUAAUGCUCUAAUAAAUGUAAUUUAAGGAAGGUCAUACACAUGACCAGCAUCUGCA